rnacentral:rRNA from 1 species
AUUGAACGCUGGCGGCAUGCUUUACACAUGCAAGUCGAACGGCAGCGGGGGCUUUCGGCCUGCCGGCGAGUGGCGAACGGGUGAGUAAUGCAUCGGAACGUGCCCAGUCAUGGGGGAUAACUACGCGAAAGCGUAGCUAAUACCGCAUACGCCCUGAGGGGAAAGGCGGGGGAUCGCAAGACCUCGCGUGAUUGGAGCGGCCGAUGUCGGAUUAGCUAGUUGGUGGGGGUAAAGGCCUACCAAGGCGACGAUCCGUAGCGGGUCUGAGAGGAUGAUCCGCCACACUGGGACUGAGACACGGCCCAGACUCCUACGGGAGGCAG